AUUGAACGCUGGCGGCAUGCCUUACACAUGCAAGUCGAACGGUAACAGAUCUUCGGAUGCUGACGAGUGGCGAACGGGUGAGUAAUAUAUCGGAACGUGCCCAGUCGUGGGGGAUAACGCAGCGAAAGCUGUGCUAAUACCGCAUACGAUCUAUGGAUGAAAGCGGGGGAUCGCAAGACCUCGCGCGAUUGGAGCGGCCGAUAUCAGAUUAGGUAGUUGGUGGGGUAAAGGCCCACCAAGCCAACGAUCUGUAGCUGGUCUGAGAGGACGACCAGCCACACUGGAACUGAGACACGGUCCAGACUCCUACGGGAGGCAGCAGUGGGGAAUUUUGGACAAUGGGCGCAAGCCUGAUCCAGCAAUGCCGCGUGCAGGAUGAAGGCCUUCGGGUUGUAACUGCUUUUGUACGGAACGAAAAGGCUCUGGUUAAUACCUGGGGCUCAUGACGGUACCGUAAGAAUAAGCACCGGCUAACUACGUG
rnacentral:rRNA from 1 species